rfam:Solanum tuberosum cultivar DM 1-3 516 R44 scf00069_146, whole genome shotgun sequence.
UCACCAAUGGACGGGGUCAAUGGGUGAUCAAGACGACUCAUAGCCUAGGGUGGUGACCUCCAUUGCACUUCGGAGGAUUGCCUUCCUAAGGACGAUCCGAGUGGUCGAUCCUACGUCCUAAUUUUUUACAGCGGGGCCUGCAUUUGCAUGGCCCCU